UACGAAGGGGGCUAGCGUUGUUCGGAAUUACUGGGCGUAAAGCGCACGUAGGCGGAUAUUUAAGUCAGGGGUGAAAUCCCGCAGCUCAACUGCGGAACUGCCUUUGAUACAGCACAUCUGGAGUCCGGAAGAGGUGGGUGGAAUUCCUAGUGUAGAGGUGAAAUUCGUAGAUAUUAGGAAGAACACCGGUGGCGAAGGCGGCC
rnacentral:rRNA from 1 species